GAUCAGAAAUGCUACAACACACAGGCAUCCAUACUUACCAUUGUUGUUGGUAACAAAAAUAUCCACACUUAUAUACCAUAGAAAUAUCCUUCCAUAACUAUUAGUAAUUUUUCCUAUGCUUCUUCUCGGCUAUGAAGAAAUUAGUAUGCGCCUAUGAGGCAUCAGGAAGCCCAUAUACUCCCGCGUUGGCGUUGAAAGCACGGCUUGUGGUCGUCCGGCUUCAAGACAGAGUCGGCUCUGUGGAGAGGUGCACCAAGUGGAGCCGCCCAAGCUCCAGUGUUCAUCCCCAAGCAUAUUAUUAGCUGUGAGCUAAGGAAAACCGAGAUACCAAUAAUGGAAGGCAAGCGGUCUCCAGCCCACCUGUCCAUCAGUCGCUUGUCUCGCAUCUGCGAGUAAACAAUCUGUUUCUCUCCCAGACACUAGACGAUCACACAUUUACGUCUUUUUGCCAAGAUCACCAAGUUUGUUUGUAGUGUCUCCUGGUCUCUGUAAACAUCAAGGCUCCAACACUUGCACUCCCACGAGAGGUUAAGGUUAAGGAUCGAUUUUCUUGCUCCAACUACCCUUUGAGUAGAGUAUAGAUAAUAGAUAAUAAGUAGUAAUAUCGAUGUUGAUGAAGUUUGAUUCUUAUUCAAGGUUCAUAUUACUUCCAGUUUGUUAUUCUUUCGUCUUUCUACG
rnacentral:lncRNA from 1 species